rnacentral:lncRNA from 1 species
AUCAACAAAGGAGUUAUAAUCGAAGAACGAUUCCUAAUCAACGUAAGACUCCUAAUUGAAGAGGGAUUCCUAAAAGAAUGAAGAUUCCUACUCAAACAAGGUUUCGUACUUGAAGUAGGAAAGUUAAGCCUAAAGUUUCCUAUUUUGGGUUAAUCUUUCGUAAACCUAAAUGGCCUUAAGUUCCAAUAACUUUGAAGGUUCCUAAGCAUUGGAAGACACAAAACAAAGGUUCUAGAGCACCUAGGAGCCUUUACCGCACCUAUCCCUUUUAGAAACCCUUUUCCUUGCCUUGCAAGGCAUUCUAGAAGCCCAAUCCCUUUCCUACAUAUCUGCCGCACCUUUUAAGCCUUUUCCCCUUUGGAUUUUAAUUGUUUGGGCCCUAAUCCUUAUUUUCUACUAAGUCCAAGUCCUAACCUGAUUUCCCUAGGGUUUUAUGUGCCUAUAUAUACUCAUAUUUCAUUCUUUGCCGAACCACCACCUCCCAUAUUCACAAUUCACGCCAGAAACUCAUCACCACUCUCUACCGCAGCCAUCCAUCACCAUUCUCCAUUGUUUCUGAUCUAAAACAUCAUUUGCCACACCAUACACCUAUCCUAGCCUUAAUCCCAUCCUUCUACACCAUUCAUAACUCCCAAAACCUGACCCUAAACCUUGUGCCGCAACAAAGAGGAAGGAGGGAAGUUCAUAGACGUGUUUGUUGUUCAGUUUGGAUCGCUGGAGUGUCUAGGUGUUUUCUUUCUUGUGUUUUCAAUGUCUAAAUUUGUUUAUCUUUGCUUUGUGAGUAUGAGGAACUAAACCCCUCUUAGCUAGGGGGAAUUCGAAACCAUGUUCAUGCUUGCAAUAUGAUUUGAUUACUUUCAGUUGUGAUUCAUAAGUUGUGAAUUCAAUUUACUUAUCCGUUUGAAUUAAAACUGAUUUGUGUGUGUUGGUUGAGAGUGCAUGCUUAAUUUUCAUGCAUAAAUAUGAUGCUAGGAUAUAAGGGAGUUUCACCUAAUCGUUAUGAACGUAUAUUCACAAGUAGUGAAGGUUGUUAGUUACAAUCGCAUUAAGUAAAUUUUUGGCAUAAGUUUCAUGCAAUUCAUAGUUACAAGUGCUUCGUCAAUGCUUAUGAUUUUCAUAGAACUUAAUGAUUCUUGCUUGUAUCUCUAUUAUGCAAUUCAUGUAGGGAACUUGUGGGGAAUGCUUUGGGUUGUUGUAUGCAAUCAUCCAAUUCAAUGAAAUUAGGAAAAUCUGAGGGUUAAUUAGUGCAAUUCACGGUUAAUCUGGGGCGUUGAGAAUUCAUGGUUUAUUGAAAAGCAACUGGAAAUCAUUUUGUUUGCAAGUGUGUCAUGUGUGGAGAAAAACCUCCUAGCUAGCCUAUCAUCCAUAGUUUUACCCAAAUUCGUGCAGAUUUCAUUAGUUCUUUAAUUUACUUGUUUUGUUUCCAAAUUCGUCAAAACCAAACCCCCCCUUUACUUUAGAGUGUCUAACAAGUUAGAAUAUGUUUUAGAUUGUGUUUUUAAGUGUUUUGAGUCAAGGAAAAACCAAAAUUCGUCAAAAAUUGUGUUUAGAGUCCAAAUCUGCCCAGUUUGUGUUUUUAGGCAGAUUUGAGCGUUUUUAGCUUGUUUUGAGUUCUUUGAGUCUAGUUUAGUGUUUUUAACUUUGUUUAUAUGUUUUUAAGUCAAUCUAGAGGUUAUUAGCAAGCCCUCCUAAUCCCCGGUCCAGAACGAUCCCUACUUACAUUCUUUACUACAAUUGAGACAAGAGGGUUUAAUUUGUGUGUUUAUAUAAUUCACAUCAAAUUUUUGGCGCCGUUGCCGAGGAUUAGCAACUUUGCUAAUCCCUUGUUAUUUAUUUUGUUUAUUUUCGUGUGUUUUAUGUUAGUUACUGACCUUGUUUGUUUUCUUGUUUUAGGUACUAGUUUUUUACUCUGAGUUCUCAUCCGGUUCGUGAACAUAUCUUGGACUUUGACGACGAUUUUGAGAGGACUUUGAGAAGGAAUAGGAAUCAGCAAGAUCAUAACCCAUAUAUUCCUAAACCUGAGUUUGAAGAACAUCCACUUGAAGAAGAAGAUGAGCCCACAGCAUAGGUUGUAGAGGAAGAUCCCAACAUGGCAGUGAACAAUCGAACAAUCAAAGAGCUUUCCACUUCGAGAUUGGACAAUGUCGUUCCCCUAUGCAUCCAAUACCCCAUGGCUACCCAAGGGAAGACGGACGAGUUCGAAUUGAAAUCAAG